rnacentral:rRNA from 1 species
CCUACGGGAGGCAGCAGUGGGGAAUAUUGCACAAUGGGGGAAACCCUGAUGCAGCGACGCCGCGUGAGUGAAGAAGUAUUUCGGUACGUAAAGCUCUAUCAGCAGGGAAGAAAAUGACGGUACCUGACUAAGAAGCCCCGGCUAACUACGUGCCAGCAGCCGCGGUAAUACGUAGGGGGCAAGCGUUAUCCGGAUUUACUGGGUGUAAAGGGAGCGUAGACGGCAGCGCAAGUCUGGAGUGAAAUCCCAUGGCUUAACCAUGGAACUGCUUUGGAAACUGUGCAGCUAGAGUGCAGGAGAGGUAAGCGGAAUUCCCAGUGUAGCGGUGAAAUGCGUAGAUAUUAGGAGGAACACCAGUGGCGAAGGCGGCUUACUGGACUGUAACUGACGUUGAGGCUCGAAAGCGUGGGGAGCAAACAGGAUUAGAUACCCGGGUAGUC